rnacentral:rRNA from 1 species
UACAGAGGGGGCAAGCGUUAUUCGGAAUUACUGGGCGUAAAGGGCGCGUAGGCGGACAUUUAAGUUAGAGGUGAAAGCCCAGGGCUCAACCCUGGAAUAGCCUUUAAUACUGGAUGUCUUGAGUUCGGGAGAGGUGAGUGGAAUGCCGAGUGUAGCGGUGGAAAUGCGCAGAUAUCAGGAGGAACGCCGGUGGCGAAGGCGGAUCUCUGGGCCUUACCUGACGCUCAGGUGCGAAAGCUAGGGGAGCGAACAGG